rnacentral:rRNA from 1 species
AUUGAACGCUGGCGGCAUGCUUUACACAUGCAAGUCGAACGGUAACAGGGAGCUUGCUCCGCUGACGAGUGGCGAACGGGUGAGUAAUAUAUCGGAACGUACCCAAGAGUGGGGGAUAACGUAGCGAAAGUUACGCUAAUACCGCAUACGAUCCAAGGAUGAAAGCAGGGGAUCUUCGGACCUUGUGCUCCUGGAGCGGCCGAUAUCUGAUUAGCUAGUUGGUGAGGUAAAGGCUCACCAAGGCGACGACCAGUAGCUGGUCUGAGAGGACGACCAGCCACACUGGAACUGAGACACGGUCCAGACUCCUACGGGAGGCAGCAGUGGGGAAUUUUGGACAAUGGGCGCAAGCCUGAUCCAGCAAUGCCGCGUGAGUGAAGAAGGCCUUCGGGUUGUAAAGCUCUUUUGUCAGGGAAGAAAUGGGAGUGGCUAAUAUCCAUUCCUAAUGACGGUACCUGAAGAAUAAGCACCGGCUAACUACGUGCCAGCAGCCGCAGUAA